rnacentral:rRNA from 1 species
GGGGAAUUUUCCGCAAUGGGCGAAAGCCUGACGGAGCAAUACCGCGUGAGGGAGGAAGGCCUUUGGGUUGUAAACCUCUUUUCUCAGGGAAGAAGAUCUGACGGUACCUGAGGAAUAAGCAUCGGCUAACUCCGUGCCAGCAGCCGCGGUAAUACGGAGGAUGCAAGCGUUAUCCGGAAUUAUUGGGCGUAAAGCGUCCGCAGGUGGUUAUUCAAGUCUGCUGUCAAAGACCAGAGCUUAACUCUGGACAGGCAGUGGAAACUGAAAAACUAGAGUCCGGUAGGGGUAGCGGGAAUUCCCAGUGUAGCGGUGAAAUGCGUAGAUAUUGGGAAGAACAUCGGUGGCGAAGGCGCGCUACUGGGCCGGAACUGACACUCAGGGACGAAAGCUAGGGGAGCGAAAGGGAUUAGAUACCCCUGUAGUC